CGCCAAGGUGCUAUCUCAAAAAAAAGGUGUCGAUGCUCCGCCCACGAAAGGCUUCGUUGUAGAAAGGAUUAAGCCCUUUCUUUGAUCUGCGCAAACGACGCGGAUAAUUGAAUCACUAACGAGUGAAGAAUGAGGAAGAGCUAAUGGGAUAUAGUUCUUGCGGAGAUUUUACUACUAACAGCGGUUUCGUGAAUUCUAAUCUUAUCUGAAUCAUUGAGUGUGCUUCGCCGUUCCGAAGAAUUAAAAGAAAUCUUCUAUUCUCGCUUCAAAAGGGUAUUCAAAGAGCUAGCCGCCCGCAUCGAUACGUCCCUGCACAUGAUACAUAAGCGGUUGAAUGGUAUUUCUUGUGGCGUUUUCAUCGUAGACCAAUAGUGCAUGUUAUGUGUAUGGAACUCUUGGGAUAUCUUGCAGAAACUUAGCUCCGCGUAGUCCAUUCACAUAAAUGUAUACUUGCUGCACGAUAAAUAACAGAUAGAAACAAAGACGUAUGGACACAUCGUUUCACAUAUAUCCAGAAAAACGAAAAAUUUAACAAAAUAUUAUUUUGUAUUGUCACAGGGAAUUAGA
rnacentral:misc_RNA from 1 species